AAAGUUGGGGGUAGGAUGGAGUGGGGGAGUUUUGUUUCUAUAACAACACUAAUCCUAUAAAAUCAAACUUCCAGUCAUUAUCCCUCAUCUCU
rnacentral:miRNA from 1 species